GGAUCAUCAGCACACCUGGACCAGCUCAGAACAAUGGUCCCCACCAAUGUCUCAGUCACCGGAGAAGACCCUCCUCUCACCAAGAUGCCCCCUGAGCCCACCAGCCCCCAGGUACAUAGCUGUGUAUUCUUAGUUGUGGGUCCUUCUAGUUGUGGCACGUGGGACGCUGCCUCAGCAUGGCUUGACGAGCGGCACCAUGUCUGUGCCCAGGAGCGAAACCGACAAAACCCUGGGCCGCCUGCAGCAAAGUGUGCGAACUUAACCACUCAGCCACGGGGCCGGCCCUGGUGUCAAGAAUGAGGCACUAUCGCUCAAGUUUUUGGUUUCUCCUACCUGAGAUGGCUCUCCUGGCUGGGCUUGGGAGUCCACACCCUCUAUCAGAAAUGGACAGAUUCAGCAGGCAGAAAAUCAGCAAAGUGCCAGGCACGUAAUGUGCCAGGGAAAGAGGGCAAAUGUUAAAAUAAAGAUGGUUCUUGUCCUCAAGGAAAUCAAAGACGUGUGGGAAGUGAAGAUACAUAAGAAAAAUGUGAAAAAAAGUGUUCAAAUAAACUGAAGUUCAGAGAAUAUUCUUUUCUGUUGUAACAAAUAUUUAUCAGGACUAAAAUAGUAUGGUUCUCCUGGCUCCUAGCUGAGGGCUGCUCUGUAAUGUUCCAUGGAGUGCAACUGGGUCUCAGCGCUCCCCUGAUCAGCACUGAUCCUCUGUAUUCGAGUGU
rnacentral:lncRNA from 1 species